GAGACUAUACUUUCAGGGAUCAUUUCUAUAGUUCAUUACUAGAGAAGUUUCUCUGAUCACAUAGAGCACCAGAAAACCACAAGGAGGAGGCGUAGAGUCCUCUCCUGAGCUUGAAGCCGGCUCUUGGUGUUGUUUUGCUGUAACUGCCAUUUGCCAUUGAUGAGCGUUCUUGCUUUCCUUUAGGGGAGCAAGAGAGAGAGGAUGCAGUCUGAGUAGA
rnacentral:snoRNA from 1 species